AUGUCUCAGCUUAAGUUGCUUUCUGCUACACUGUGAAUGGCUCAUGUUUUAAGCCACAAAUUGAUUGGUGGCUGACACAUAUGGAUAUCUAUGGCAACGCUGCAGCUAACACAUACUCGUUGACCCUGCUGGAUGGGUCGUCGCCAUGCUCACAAGAACCGAUUCAGGCUCUGCUUGGCCAGGCAUGAGUACAAAUGGCUGCAUGAACCACGGUGUCUGUGCAGGUGAUAAUCCUUCAAGGUUUCUGACCUAUCAGCUUCCGACGGCAGGGUAAUGGCCCACUGUGGCAGUGACAGGUGACGGAGGAUUAGGGUUUGAUUCCGGAGAGGGAGCCUGAGAAAUGGCUACCACAUCCAAGGAAGGCAGCAGGCGCGCAACUUGCCCAAUUCUGGACGAAAGAGGUAGUGACAAGAAAUAGCAAUUCAAGGCAUCCAUGUCUUGUACUUGGAAUGAAAGACCUGCACACUUCCUUUUGAGUAUCUAUUGGAGGGCAAGUCUGGUGCCAGCAGCCGCGGUAAUUCCAGCUCCAAUGGCAUAUGUUAGAGUUGUUGCAUCUGCAGAGGAUGCCUGGUCUGCCCA
rnacentral:rRNA from 1 species